rnacentral:tRNA from 2 species
GGAGAGAUGGCUGAGCUGGUCGAAAGCGCUCGACUCGAAAUCGAGUGUACUGCCAGAAGCAGUACCGUGGGUUCGAAUCCCACUCUCUCCGCCA